GACUUCCGCUUCCGGCUCUCCAGGCACGAGGAUUCCCGGGAGCCAAGCAAGCGGCAAGAUGAGGCCCUUGACUGAAGAAGAGACCCGGGUCAUGUUUGAGAAGAUCGCGAAGUACAUCGGAGAGAACCUUCAACUCCUAGUGGACAGACCCGACGGCACGUACUGUUUCCGGCUGCACAACGACCGAGUGUACUAUGUGAGGUGAGGUGGGGCGUGCUGCCCACUGCGUGGCGGGCUGGAGGCGUGCAUCCAUCCCUGGUCGUCACCGGGUACCUUCCUCCCGCGCCCCUGUAGUGAGAUGAUGCUGAAGCUGGCCGCCAACAUCUCCGGAGACAAGCUCGUGUCGCUGGGGACGUGUUUUGGGAAGUUUACCAAGACCCACAAGUUCCGCUUGCACGUGACAGCUCUGGAUUACCUGGCCCCCUAUGCCAAGUAUAAAGUGUGGGUAAAGCCGGGAGCAGAGCAGUCCUUCUUGUAUGGAAACCAUGUGUUGAAAUCCGGUCUGGGUCGAAUUACUGAGAACACAUCUCAGUACCAGGGAGUGGUUGUCUAUUCCAUGGCGGACAUUCCUCUGGGUUUUGGGGUGGCAGCAAAGUCUACCCAAGACUGCCGAAAAGUGGACCCCAUGGCAAUUGUGGUGUUCCACCAAGCAGACAUUGGGGAGUACGUACGCCAUGAAGAGACACUGACUUAGGACGGUCAUUCCAAGAACAUUUUGCUGUGUGAGAGGACUUAGCUUUGUUUCCUGUGUGCGGCCAUCAGAUUAAAUCUGGACAACACUGAGAUACGCAACUUGGGUUCUUAUCAACAGAAAUGGCGUGAAAACAGGGUCUCUGGCCCUCUAGAGUCAAAAGCAGGUGGAUCACAAGUAUAAGGCCAGCUCAGGCUACUUGGAGAGUUCAAGGCUAGCCUGGGCUACAUAGUGAGCCUUGUCUCAAAAAUCUAAAACAGACAAACCAGAACCUGAGAGUGUUUUGUGUGAGUAAAUAGAGUGUUUCUGUUUUGUGUCUGCGUCGUCUUUGUUUGGAUCAGAAGACUUGCUCUGAGUGAUGGUUUCUAAGUUACUUCACUGAGGACAGGAGCCAUCUUACUGUUAUCUGUGAUAACACUGUUUUCCAGGCUCAUGAUAGCACAGUGGACUUUCUAUUGUGUGUUAAUGUUAAAGGUAGAAACGGCCAUAUGAGCCUCUGGUUUUACAUAUGGAAUUUAAUAAAUUUUAAUGGUUUUAUAUUUGUUAUUUCAUAUGUGUGAGUGUUUUGUUGGCAUGUACGUAUGUGCACUGCUUAUGUGCCUGGUGCCUAAGGAAGUCAAGGUGAUUUCAGACCUGGAACUAGAGUUACUGGUUGUGAGCCACCGUAUAGGUGCCAGAAAUUAAACUCAGGUCCUCUGCAGGGACAGCAGUGGUCUUAACCACUAAGCUAUCCUAAUAAAUUUAAUAGGUGCAUUUUGGCUAUUUUUCUUGGUGUUAAGUGGGGUAUAGCGUGGAAGCGUCUGUAUUCAAGCCUCAGUUCUGCCCCUUGCCAGCUGUGGUGGUGGACAAGUUCUCUGCUUAGAGAGGCUUCAUUUUCUUCCUUUGUUAAAAGAAAAAACCCAUGACCCUGCCGUAUGGUGGUGCAUAUCUUUAGUUACAGCACGGGGGCUUGAGGGUGAGGCAAAGGCAGAUGGAGCUCUAUAGGUUCAAGGCCAGCCUGGUCUACAUAAGGAGAUCCUGGCCAGUCUUAAACCCAAAACCCACAAAACUGAAAAAACACCUCCAGUCAUCAGUGUAACAGUGAUAUUCAGAAUUAAAAAUAGCAGUUGUAGGGGCUGGUGAGAUGGCUCAGUGGGUAAGAGCACCCGACUGCUCUUCCAAAGGUCCGGAGUUCAAACCCCAGCAACCACAUGGUGGCUCACAACCAUCCGUAACAAGAUCUGACUCCCUCUUCUGGAGUGUCUGAAGACAGCUACAGUGUACUUACUUACAUAUAAUAAAUAAAUAAAAAAUAGCAGUUGUAAAGCAUCCUGCAUGGGAUAGAGUUAUCCUGUCUCAAAACAGGAAAUUGUUCGUGCGUGUCUGUGUGAGUAUAUCCUGCUUGGGUAGCGGUAUCCUCAGAGGGCAGAAAACACUUGGGAUUCCUUGGAGCCUGAGGUAAGGACAGUUGUGAGCUGGCCAUUGUUGGUGUUGGGAACCAAACUUCAGUCCUCUAAAAGAGAAUGUUCUUUCUGAACUGCUGAGCCAUCUUCCCUGUCUGUGUUAAAAUGAUUUUGUUACUUUUUUUUUUUUUUAAUUGAAACAAGUUCUGACUAUGUAUCUCUGCUUAGAAUGUACCCAGGCUGGCCUCAAACUCAAGGAUCCAUUGAUUCUGAAGUGCUGAGAUUAAAUGGGUAUACUACCAUACCAGGCUCAAUUCCCCCACCUCCCUUUUUUUUUUGUUUUUGUUUGUUUUUUUUGUUUGUUUUGUUUUUGUUUGUUCUUUUGAGACAGGGUUUCUCUGUAGCCCUGACUGUCCUGGAACUCAUUCUGUAGACCAGGCUGGCCUCAAACUCAGAGAUCUGUUUGCCUCCAAAAUACUGGCCUUAAAAAAUGUGCCCCACCAUGCCUAACUUCAGAACAAUUUCUUUUUCUUUUUUUUUGAGACAGGGUUUCUCUGUAUAGCCCUGGCAGUCCUGGAACUCACUUUGUAGACCAGGCUGGCCUCGAACUCAGAAAUCCACCUGCCUCUGCCUCCCGAGUGCUGGGAUUAAAGGCAUGCACCACCACACCCGGCAGAACAGUUUCUUAAGAUAUGAUCAGGUUAUGUCAGUUUUAGGGGGCAUUUUUAUUUUUUGAGACAUUUGUCACAUUAUAUCUAAGUUGGUCUGAAAUGCUAUGGGACCCAGGCUGUCUUAGCCUCUCAGGUAAUGGUAUUAUAGGUCUGUCGCCACACCAGUUUCCAAUGGUAACAUCUUUUAAAUAAAGUAAAAUAUUUCCAACCGUUGAAGGGCACUACAGGCCAAGAAGAUAGCUCAGUGGACAGCCUGGUAGGGUGGAUCAGCCAUGUGCCACCAAGCCUGAUGCUGUGUUCAAUCCCUGGGACAAGGUUGAAGGUGGGGACAUUGCUGACCUUUGUAGUCCUCUACAAUGGAUUAAAAUUUUUUAAACUCCAAAAA